UUAGCUUUGAUUGACACGCGUUCCGUCCAAUCUUCGCACUUUUCCUUUUGCUCGUACUAGCGGAGCAAAAUGGCGUAGGAGCGGAGGGUGAAAGGAGGAGAGCACCUUCUUCUCUCCCCUUCACCGUGUCCAGAAGAGGAGAGAAGGGGGUCCGCAACUUUUAAGUUUUGCUUUAAAUUCGCGGGUCUUCUUAUGAAAAUAACCCCAACGAUCCUCCAGGUGAAGAGGACUCUUAAUAUGUUACCGCAUAGGAAGGAUCCCCCCGGCUUUUGUUUACCAUUGUGUGCAGCUGCAGCAUAGAGACACAGAACAUAUCUCUACAUCAUUUCACACUGAGGUAGAGAAAGAGAUGGAGCCAGCUGAACCCAUGAAAACCCGGGAGAAGACUCAGAACCGCCAACAUAACUCCUCCACCUCUGCCGAGCCAGAGAGAACUGCAGCUAAGAUAACCUCUUUUGGGGUCCUCUCACUUCUCUCUUGCCUGCCUUUCCUGCUGUUCUCUGGGACCCUGGAUAUGUCUCUUCCACAGCAUCCCUUGUCCUGACCUCUUUCUGCAGCCUGAUCAUCAGUGAGUCGUCCAACUUCGGAGAUGAACAAGCCUCGUCUAACACCAGCUCUGCUGCUGCUGCUUCAUUUGCUUAAAGAAAUGGGUGAAAUCUGAGGGAUAUGUAUGUGUUGUAAACAGAGUUGCUUUUUCCAUUCCAAAAAACAAACAAAGAAAUCACACAAGAGGUUUGAUAAUGAGCAAACAAUGUGCUCUCCUUUUUUCUGAAGUAAAGACACAACAUACUGUAGCAAGAAUCAAACGCCUGUGACACAAAUUAAGAUCCUUGAUUCAUUCUUUUUUUAACUACCUCACUGCCACAGCAAGUCCGACAUGAUCAAAAGGAGCGUUUCGGAACAAGGAGUGCUGCAGCAGUCCGUUUAUCUGUCCAAAACACCUUUUAGUAUUGAAGUCAGGUAGUUGACAGGUAAACAGAAGAUAUGCAUGCUGUUGCUUAUGUGUAGCAUUUCUUUAGUUUAUUUUAGGAGGAUCAAGACACGGAUUCAUGCAACCUCUUGUCUAGGCAUGAGCUGGUAUAUUCUAUUUGAAGGAAAACGUACAUUAAAAACAUCAUGAUGUCAGUAUUUACAGAAAGACUUGGAACCAAAUUGGGUGUUGUGAUCUCGUUGAUUUCAUUUAUGAGAGCAUCAACCAGAAAUAUUUUGGUUACUGGUAAUUUAUGGCUAGAUUAACAGCUGAAUUUGCUCCUGAUAAGCAUGGAAAAAGUUAGUUUUUUUCCUGCCAGAUUGUAUGUGCAGUCAUGUGGGGAAGGGACAUGUCUGUUGCUCCACACAGCUGAAUUAAUCUCUGUUUAGGCCUGUUUCUCUGGCAUCAUGUUAAAAGGCUUUUAAACUUUUAUACCUUGACACAGAUAUCCGGCUCAUGCCUAUUCUUGUCUGCGUUGCCUCAAGUCUACACUUCAGACGUCUUGUCCUUUUGUUUGUCGAAUCUCUAAGCAGAGAUAAAUUUGGCAGCGUUACUCAUUUGGGUCGGUCCUUGUGAGUGAAGUGGGACGAGUUGUGGUGAUCACAUUUUUUCUGCAUCCACGCUGUGGUCCAGUUUUAGCUCCUCACUGUGUCCUCACAUGACAUGCUUUGAUCCAACAUCCAACAAAGACACAAAGUCCUGCAGCUCAUAAUCGGUUUGCUAUUUUGAUUUCUUUUUUUGUGUGCCAUUCAUGUGUAUAGAAAGAGCAACGACAACAGAAUUACACUUUACCGGGAUCUGUGCAAUAUUUGAUCUUAACUGUCAUGUUGUUGACCAAACUGUAUAUUGUAUAAACAAGUGACAAGUUGUUUGAAAGCAACAAAAUCACCAAUGUCUUCCAUUAAGAUAUGUAUAGACCCAUGUGUUAGCUUAUUUAGCGGGGCUGUGGUGCCAACAUUAUUGUAGCCAUGCAUGACCAGUAGUAAUGCUUGCUCCAUCAAGAGUAUUGAUUUGUAGGCCGAGCCGAAGCUCAAAUCUGUGGAGACCAUUUCAGUAAAACUAGGGAGUAUUAGACUCACAUGAUAUGUCAAAUUUAGAUCCUGCUUUAACCUAAAAUGUAGUGCUUAAUCUCUAUUUUAAAGCAUGUAUAUGUUUGGUAAGAAAUAUAGUAUGACUCAAUUGGGGUACACUGUUACAAAGUUGAGUUUUCAGGUCUGUUAGCACAUUCUCAUAAAUAGAGGUGCACCGAUCAUGAUAAUGUGGCUUUUGUAUGGCUUGGACCUGCCAAUAUCGAUUUUUGCUCUAUUAUGAGUUCUCUUAAAUUGUAGUGUUAAAAAAAAAUUGGAAAAACAUUCAAACAUUGUUUUUCUAGCCUUCCUGUCGUGAUUGGAAAUCAGGCCAAUAUUGUAUUUGUCAGAGAGGAGUCACUGUAAAAUAGGGUAUCCUGUUAUUUUAAAACGUCAAAAUCCUGAUAGAGUAGAAAUUUAAAGCAGUCUUAUUUUAAUAAUUACCGCAGUUAGCAUAGCUAGCAUCACAAAAACAUCUGUAAUCAUAUUCUUACUUCAGCUGAUGAGGUUUCAGACAGAAGUUUAAAGCUCAAAGGGAUAAAACAGCAGCCUUGCUUUACUCCAUUUAUCCUUCUUGUUAUCUGCUUAAGUCUGUGUCUCUCUCGCUGGUUUGCAGGCUGAAUGAACCACUGACACUUAACAGGAAACAGUUUCCUUUUUAAUAGGUUCAUCUUCCUUAUUGAGACUGAAACACAUGGCCGUCAGUCUGUCCACACUGAAGAGUGCUGUAGUCAGUGUGACCUAGUAAUGCUAACAUAUGGUGUGUUCACUGAUUGGAAAGAAAUUGGAUUUUCCAAAAGCGGAUAACUUGGUGCAACUCAACACGUUUUUUUUUUUAAAUUACAUUGUUUUCUGUCAUGUUUCAACAGAAUUAGUUAAAAUGCAAGAGCCAAAAAUCUCUAUUAAAACCGGGUCUCAGAUGGGAAAAUCUUUGCAGAAAUUAUUCAUAAGUAGGGAACUUGUAUCUUAAAUUAGGACCUGAUAGGCUGGGACCUGGCAUGUUGUAGUCCUUAUCAUGAAAUUGUAUAUAUGACCUCAUAGUUUUGGGAUUCAGCGCAUUCUAUUUUAAUCCACACAAUUGUAUUUAAUUAGUAUUUUAGAAGCAAUAACCUAAAAUAAUGCAUGAAUUUAGCUCGAGGAGUUAGUAUGAAAAGGACUGUGUAACAUUUCAUGGAAAAUUCCCCUUCCUUUUUCAUUGCCUUUGUACUAGCUAUGUGUUAGCGAUCUAUUUUCUUUUUUGCUUCAUUGUGUUUUAAUACACUAUCUUAAUCAACAAGAACACAAGAAAGGCUUUAAAUCUGAUUUCCUGUAGCAUCCAUAAAGAGCCUUUCCUUUCUUGAAAGUUGCAGACUUUAAGAAUAAACAGCAGCAAAGAACUAACUGAAUGACACUUACGUGAAAAGCACUUUCUAUGUACCAACUUGCACCAUCAUUGUCAACACCAUGUCUUGAAUACUGUGUUCAAGCAACCCUGUAAUGUUCUUUCUGGUGAUUUAUAAUCCCAAUGUAUGAGCAAGUAGAUGUCCAGGUGAUAUGAAUUUGUGGGUUUAAAAAAAAAUAUGCAUGACUUAGCAGAAUAACGAAUGAAAUGUAUUGCAUGCAAUAACCUAACCUCGUAAUGUGAAUGAGUGUGAGUAUGUUCCAAUCCAAACAUGGGGAUGGUUGACACAAAAGCAGCUGCACCGAAGUCGCUCUGCCGGUUACAGUUUUACAAAAUAGCCGCUGUACAUAACAGAAAAAGCCCUAAAAGAAGGAAAUGAUCAGUUUCUAUUUUUCCUGUUGUGUCCCAUGCAAUCUGGCAGUAUAACUACAGUGCAGCUUAAUUCUUGUUCCCAUGAGGAAAACCUAAAAGCCUUGGUAAGAUUACUGAAAUUACUUUGUUGUUCAACUUUUCCACUGAGAUGGUGGACUGUAUAGGAACUAUGCACUCCAGAGGGAGGAAACGGGCAUGCCUAUUAUGUAUCAGCCUCUUGUCUGGUUUUGUAAUAAAUAAAAAUGAAUCUGUAUCAGAAAAAUUCAGCAAUAAACAGCAUGGUGCCAAUCGUA